CAGUCGCCACGGUAACACGUAGGGUGCAAGCGUUAAUCGGAAUUACUGGGCGUAAAGCGUGCGCAGGCGGUUUGUUAAGACAGAUGUGAAAUCCCCGAGCUUAACUUGGGAACUGCAUUUGAAACUGGCAAGCUAGAGUCUUGUAGAGGGGGGUAGAAUUCCAGGUGUAGCGGUGAAAUGCGUAGAGAUCUGGAGGAAUACCGGUGGCGAAGGCGGCCCCCUGGACAAAGACUGACGCUCAGGUGCGAAAGCGUGGGGAGCAAACAGGAUUAGAUACCCCAGUAGUCCCUGUCUCUUAUAC
rnacentral:rRNA from 1 species